AGAGUUUGAUCAUGGCUCAGAUUGAACGCUGGCGGCAGGCCUAACACAUGCAAGUCGGGCGGUAGCACAGAGAGCUUGCUCUCGGGUGACGAGCGGCGGACGGGUGAGUAAUGUCUGGGAAACUGCCUGAUGGAGGGGGAUAACUACUGGAAACGGUAGCUAAUACCGCAUAACGUCGCAAGACCAAAGAGGGGGACCUUCGGGCCUCUUGCCAUCAGAUGUGCCCAGAUGGGAUUAGCUAGUAGGUGGGGUAACGGCUCACCUAGGCGACGAUCCCUAGCUGGUCUGAGAGGAUGACCAGCCACACUGGAACUGAGACACGGUCCAGACUCCUACGGGAGGCAGCAGUGGGGAAUAUUGCACAAUGGGCGCAAGCCUGAUGCAGCCAUGCCGCGUGUAUGAAGAAGGCCUUCGGGUUGUAAAGUACUUUCAGCGGGGAGGAAGGUGUUGAGGUUAAUAACCUCAGCAAUUGACGUUACCCGCAGAAGAAGCACCGGCUAACUCCGUGCCAGCAGCCGCGGUAAUACGGAGGGUGCAAGCGUUAAUCGGAAUUACUGGGCGUAAAGCGCACGCAGGCGGUCUGUCAAGUCGGAUGUGAAAUCCCCGGGCUCAACCUGGGAACUGCAUUCGAAACUGGCAGGCUAGAGUCUUGUAGAGGGGGGUAGAAUUCCAGGUGUAGCGGUGAAAUGCGUAGAGAUCUGGAGGAAUACCGGUGGCGAAGGCGGCCCCCUGGACAAAGACUGACGCUCAGGUGCGAAAGCGUGGGGAGCAAACAGGAUUAGAUACCCUGGUAGUCCACGCCGUAAACGAUGUCGACUUGGAGGUUGUGCCCUUGAGGCGUGGCUUCCGGAGCUAACGCGUUAAGUCGACCGCCUGGGGAGUACGGCCGCAAGGUUAAAACUCAAAUGAAUUGACGGGGGCCCGCACAAGCGGUGGAGCAUGUGGUUUAAUUCGAUGCAACGCGAAGAACCUUACCUACUCUUGACAUCCAGAGAACUUUCCAGAGAUGGACUGGUGCCUUCGGGAACUCUGAGACAGGUGCUGCAUGGCUGUCGUCAGCUCGUGUUGUGAAAUGUUGGGUUAAGUCCCGCAACGAGCGCAACCCUUAUCCUUUGUUGCCAGCGGUUAGGCCGGGAACUCAAAGGAGACUGCCAGUGAUAAACUGGAGGAAGGUGGGGAUGACGUCAAGUCAUCAUGGCCCUUACGAGUAGGGCUACACACGUGCUACAAUGGCGCAUACAAAGAGAAGCGACCUCGCGAGAGCAAGCGGACCUCAUAAAGUGCGUCGUAGUCCGGAUUGGAGUCUGCAACUCGACUCCAUGAAGUCGGAAUCGCUAGUAAUCGUAGAUCAGAAUGCUACGGUGAAUACGUUCCCGGGCCUUGUACACACCGCCCGUCACACCAUGGGAGUGGGUUGCAAAAGAAGUAGGUAGCUUAACCUUCGGGAGGGCGCUUACCACUUUGUGAUUCAUGACUGGGGUGAAGUCGUAACAAGGUAACCGUAGGGGAACCUGC
rnacentral:rRNA from 1 species